GAUGAACGCUAGCUACAGGCUUAACACAUGCAAGUCGCAGGACUGGCGCACGGGUGAGUAACGCGUAUCCAACCUUCCCAUGACCACGGGAUAACCCGUUGAAAGACGGACUAAUACCGUAUGGUGAUGGUUGGUGCGGCGUCUGAUUAGCUUGUGGGCGGGGUAACGGCCCACCAAGGCGCCGAUCAGUAGGGGUUAUGCGAGGAAGGUCCCCCACGUUGGAACGGAGACACGGUCCAAACUCCUACGGGAGGCAGCAGUGAGGAGUAUUGGUCAAUGAGCGAGAGCCUGAACCAGCCAAGUAGCGUGCAGGACGACGGCCUAUGGGUUGUAAACUGCUUUUAUGCGGGGAUAGGUACCGCAUGAAUAAGGACCGGCUAAUUCCGUGCCAGCAGCCGCGGUAAUUC
rnacentral:rRNA from 1 species